UGACCAGUGCCUGGAUGGUCAUGUGGAUCCGAUUCUCUCUCGAAGUAGUAGUAUAUAUGCGAAUUGAAUCGGCCGUGUAAGCACAUGGUAGAUGAUAGAAUAGACCAUCAGUCCAUCACCCAACAUUUGCUAUCAUGGAUGGUACUAUUUGUGUGGUAUUGAUUCUAGGUGUACAUUCUCAGUACUUUAUUAGUUGGUGUGGGAGUCAUUGGUAGUUUGGUACCCUUGCGGAAUUCGCUGGCGCGCAAUACAACAGUAAUGAUCUCUUAGGCAUGCAUGUGAGCAAGCAAUGAGAAGGAUAUCACUGUUCGGGGUUAAGAAUCAAGUGAGUAAAAAUAAUUGGGAAACCGACGUGUUUACUUUGUGGUCGACCAGGGGAAUAUCAGAAUAUCUGAAUAUGCGAAUGCUGAAUAACCGACGAGGAAGAAGCAUUCUCGCAUUCAGUGCAACGCCGCCGACCACUACCACUAGCUGCUGCAGCUGCACGACGCCGCGGGCCAUUUCUCGUGAAGCAACAGCACCGGAUUUUAAAACCUGGCCUGGUCCAUCUGGGGAGUGGAGACAUCACGAGGGAGUAACGUGCUGGCAUUCUCGGUUCUCCUACCCAGAGCAUUUGUGGUUGUGCAUCCGCGCGUGUACGCGCCUAAUUUAGGCCUGUUUAGAAGGCCGCGUUCUUUUCAUCUAGCCGGUUUGGAUGAUUAGCUAUACGAUAAAACGAAAUAUAAUUAACGUACGAUUAAUUGAGUAUUAUGAAUUUAUUUAAUGUUUUAAAGCAUCUGGCAGUGUAGUUUUGCCCCAAAUCCUUAGCUCCCCAGUUCCUGACGAUGUAUGCUACUACUUAUCUUCCUAAACACGAUUUUAGAUUGGGAAAA